AAAGUCCCUAUACUACUCAAUAAUUAUUUUGCCUGAAAAUAUGUGGAGGAGGAGGGGAUUAAUAAAGAUAAAAAUCUCUUAAUUGAAUAUAAACAAUUUAACUGUUCAAGAAUUCCCCAAGUAAAUUUUAUCUACAUAGUGUGGGUUAAAUGUGGGGGGAAAAGGGAUGGUAGAUGCAAAAUGCAGUUAUUUGCUUCAAAAAUCUAUCUGUGUGAGUAGCUCCAAUGUAUAAAAGAUCAAAUGAAGAAAGUUUUACCGGCUUGUUUCCAAUGCCUCCGACUUAUCUGGGUGGAUCUUCCCCUCUGACUCAUUCUGGAACAGUCCUCCAUAAGUCAAGGAGACAGUUUACAAGCUGGGGAGGUUUCCCUUCAUAACGGCUGAGGGAACUUAUUCUCUCCACAACCACGGUUCAAUGUGUCAGGUACUGACAUAAGGAAAGAAUGUCUCUGACCUAAGGAAUUCAUAAUCUAAUAGGGGAGACGGACAAAUAAAUAGUCUGAUUCAGCAAAUAGCUACCGAGGGUCUACUUGUUUCCAGUCACUGGGGAUUUAAUGGCAAAAUAACCCUCAAGAAGCUUAUUGUCUAGUGGAAAAGACCAACAGGUAAACGGGCAGUGGGAAGUGCUGUGAGGGUGGAAUUGCUGGGUGUUGGACAGGUAGAGGGGGCUGUGGAGGAAGAGCACGUUGCAGCUAGUUAGAGAGGUAGGAUGAGAGCAAGGACAGGGAGAAG
rnacentral:lncRNA from 1 species